rnacentral:rRNA from 1 species
UACGGAGGGUGCAAGCGUUAAUCGGAAUUACUGGGCGUAAAGCGUGCGCAGGCGGUUAUGCAAGACAGGUGUGAAAUCCCCGGGCUCAACCUGGGAACUGCAUUUGUGACUGCAUGGCUAGAGUACGGUAGAGGGGGAUGGAAUUCCGCGUGUAGCAGUGAAAUGCGUAGAUAUGCGGAGGAACACCGAUGGCGAAGGCAAUCCCCUGGACCUGUACUGACGCUCAUGCACGAAAGCGUGGGGAGCAAACAGG